rnacentral:rRNA from 1 species
AUUGAACGCUGGCGGCAGGCCUAACACAUGCAAGUCGAGCGAGCGGCGGACGGGUGAGUAAUGUCUGGGGAUCUGCCCGAUGGAGGGGGAUAACUACUGGAAACGGUGGCUAAUACCGCAUACUAUCGGAUGAACCCAGAUGGGAUUAGCUAGUAGGUGGGGUAAAGGCUCACCUAGGCGACGAUCCCUAGCUGGUCUGAGAGGAUGACCAGCCACACUGGACUUGAGACACGGCCCAGACUCCUACGGGAGGCAGCAGUGGGGAAUAUUGCACAAUGGGCGCAAGCCUGAUGCAGCCAUGCCGCGUGUAUGAAGAAGGCCUUAGGGUUGUAAAGUACUUUCAGCGUGGAGGCGUUACCCGCAGAAGAAGCACCGGCUAACUCCGUGCCAGCCGCCGCGGUAAUUC